UACAGAGGUGGCAAGCGUUGUUCGGAAUUACUGGGCGUAAAGGGCGCGUAGGCGGCCUACUAAGUCAGACGUGAAAUCCCCAGGCUUAACUUGGGAACUGCGUCUGAUACUGGAUGGCUUGAGUUUGGGAGAGGGAUGCGGAAUUCCAGGUGUAGCGGUGAAAUGCGUAGAUAUCUGGAGGAACACCGGGUGGCGAAGGCGGCAUCCUGGACCAACACUGACGCUGAGUGAGCGAAAGCCAGGGGAGCAAACGGG
rnacentral:rRNA from 1 species